rnacentral:rRNA from 1 species
ACUCCUACGGGAGGCAGCAGUGGGGAAUUUUGCGCAAUGGGGGAAACCCUGACGCAGCAACGCCGCGUGAGUGAUGAAGGCCCUUGGGUCGUAAAGCUCUGUCAGAGGGAAAGAAAUGUGGGUGGCUAAUAUCCAUUCCACUUGACGGUACCCUCAAAGGAAGCACCGGCUAACUCCGUGCCAGCAGCCGCGGUAAUACGGAGGGUGCGAGCGUUGUUCGGAUUUAUUGGGCGUAAAGCGCGUGUAGGCGGUUUGAUAAGUCUGAUGUGAAAGCCCCGGGCUCAACCCGGGAAGUGCAUUGGAAACUGGCAGACUUGAAUACGGGAGAGGGUAGUGGAAUUCCUAGUGUAGGAGUGAAAUCCGUAGAUAUUAGGAGGAACACCGGUGGCGAAGGCGGCUGCCUGGACCGAUACUGACGCUGAGACGCGAAAGCGUGGGGAGCAAACAGGAUUAGAUACCCUGGUAGUCCACGCCGUAAACGAUGAGAACUAGGUGUUGCGGGUA